rnacentral:rRNA from 1 species
AGAGUUUGAUCAGUGGCUCAGGACGAACGCUGGCGGCGUGCCUAACACAUGCAAGUCGAACGAGGUCCAAGGAAGCUUGCUUCCUGAAGACCUAGUGGCGAACGGGUGAGUAACACGUGAGAAACCUGCCUCGGAGUGGGGAAUAACUCGGGGAAACUCGAGCUAAUACCGCAUACCUUCACAUGAUCGCAUGGUCGAGUGAAGAAAGAAUUUCGCUCUGAGAGGGUCUCGCGGCCUAUCAGCUUGUUGGUGGGUAACGGCCUACCAAGGCAACGACGGGUAGCUGGUUUGAGAGAACGAUCAGCCACACUGGGACUGAGACACGGCCCAGACUCCUACGGGAGGCAGCAGUGGGAAUCUUGCGCAAUGGGCGAAAGCCUGACGCAGCAACGCCGCGUGCGGGAUGACGGCCUUCGUGGUUGUAAACCGCUUUCAGCAGGGACGAAAAUGACGGUACCUGCAGAAGAAGCCCCGGCUAACUACGUG